UGGGGCGUGGCCAAGUGGUAAGGCAACGGGUUUUGGUCCCGGCAUUGCGAAGGUUCGAAUCCUUCCGUCCCAG
rnacentral:tRNA from 2 species